GACGAACGCUGGCGGCGUGCUUAACACAUGCAAGUCGUACGGUAAGGCCCUUUCGGGGGUCCACGAGUGGCGAACGGGUGAGUAACACGUGAGUAACCUGCCCACAACUUUGGGAUAACGCUAGGAAACUGGUGCUAAUACUGGAUAUGUGCCCCUGCUGCAUGGUGGGGGUUGGAAAGCUCCGGCGGUUGUGGAUGGACUCGCGGCCUAUCAGCUUGUUGGUGGGGUAGUGGCCUACCAAGGCGGCGACGGGUAGCCGGCCUGAGAGGGUGACCGGCCACAUUGGGACUGAGAUACGGCCCAGACUCCUACGGGAGGCAGCAGUGGGGAAUAUUGCACAAUGGGCGCAAGCCGGAUGCAGCAACGCCGCGUGCGGGAUGACGGCCUUCGGGUUGUAAACCGCUUUCAGCAGGGACGAAGCUUUUUGUGACGGUACCUGCAGAAGAAGCACCGGCUAACUACGUG
rnacentral:rRNA from 1 species